AGCGAACGCUUGCGGCAGGCCUAAUACAUGCAAGUAGAACGGCUCUUCGGAGCAGUGGCGGACGGGUGAGUAACGCGUGGGUUUGUGCCCUUAGGUACGGAACAAUACAGGGAAACUUGUGCUAAUACCGCAUGAGCCCUUCAGGGGACAGAUUUAUCGCGUUUGGAGCAGCCCGCGUUGGAUUAGCUUGUUGGUGGGGUAAAGGUCCACCAAGGGGACGAUCCAUAGUCGGUCUGCGCGGGUGAUCAGCCACACUGGGGCUGAUACACGGCCCAGACUCCUACGGGAGGCAGCAGUAGGGAAUCGUGCGCACUGGGCGAAAGCCUGACGCAGCCACGCCGCGUGAAAGAUGAAGGUCUUAGGAUUGUAAAAUUCUUUCACCGGGGAAGAUAAUGACGGUACCCGGAGAAGAAGCCCCGGCUAACUUCGUGCCAGCCGCCGCAGUAAUAC
rnacentral:rRNA from 1 species